UUUUAUUUAAUCACUCAACAUUUACGUUACAUUUCUUCACGGCUUUUGCGCUCUGCGGCGCUCCGUCGUGACGUCAUGACGCUCGGCGUGCGAACGUGAUCCAGCAGAACCUUGUGAAAGACAAACUGGGUAGCAGUGAGGUGAAGCUGUGCACACAUUAUGGCGAGUGUGCUGUGCAGGAGGGUCAGACAGGUGAGUCAGUC